CAUAUGAUUUUUCUUCUAUGAGGUACUGAGAGUAGUCAAAACCAUGAAGGCAGAAAGUAGAAGUGUGCUUGCCAUUAUACAGGGAGGAGGGGAGAGCAGGGAGUUUGUGUUUAUUGUGUUUUUGUGAGCAUACAGUUUCAGUGUUAUAAGAUGGAAAGUCCUGGACAUGGAUGGUGGUGAUGGCCACACAGCAACAUGAAUGUUCUUUACACUACUGAACUGUGCACUUAAAAAUGGUUAAGAUGGUAAAUAUGCACAGUACAAAAAUUUUUCUAAGAAGGAAAAUGAUUGGAAAUGGUAAA